UCAUAAUUAGUUGUCUUAUAAUUCGCAUUUUUUUUUUGGUCAUACUACUGCUUCUUAACUCUAAUGACUGUCCACGUCUUGCCUCGUCUUUGAGUUGUGCGAGAUGCCUGAGCCUGGCUGAUUGUGUGUGUUUGUUAUAUUGGGCUUGUACGUCUUUUUUGUCCCUCUCUCGGUCCGUAGUGCCCUCUUGUGCCCCUACCUCAUGCCAGUGGUGCCCGACCCCCACCCCUUCAUCUCUCUUCCUUUUCUGUCAACCUAGCCCUUCGCUUUUUUCGUGCUUAACAGUAAAUAUCUGUACAAAGGACCAAAAGUUGAGAUUUUCUAUGAUAUAUAUAGCUAUAUAAAUAUAUAUAGAUAUUAUAUUCAGACAAAUUCUACUGAAGACGCAACAGAUGCAUAUUCUGUUUCUUGUUUCUUUUUCUUUACCUUUUCUAAUAUGGCUAAACCGUUAACGUGCCGCAGGUGGCAUUUAUGUUUUUCACCCCCCACCCCCCCACACACACACAUACACAGUUGAAGGAGACUGUCGGCUCAGAGUUAGCAUCAAGCUAACACCUCCUAGCUUAAGUUAGCUGCUGACAGACCUUAAGAGUCUGCCUUUGCUGUGAUGGUCACUGGUGGCCAAGGGCAGCUGGGUUUAUGACCCACCUCCCUCACUGAGCUCUUAAGAUGUGAUCUUAAGAUCAUGUGGCUAUCAGUCGGGCAGACUAUGAUUUACACUGUAAGCUAGUUGUAUACUUGACCUGUUCUUGACCUGUUGUUGUUGUUGUUGUACACUUGACCUGUUCUUUGAUAGCUGUUACACAAUUAGAAGAGAAAAAAACACAACACACUUCUACAUGGCAUAAGAUGAUGAACUGGAAAUACUCCUUACUACUGAUCAUUUUCCUAAAUAGUUGUGUUUUUGUUUUUGUUUUCCUCAAUCAGGAGAGCUGUCUGCACGAACGCCUUUAGUUCUGUGUCUUUUUGAUUGAUUGUUGUCCAUACAGGAAUGUUGUAUUCACUUGAAAUGUAUAUUUAUGUUUAUUGAGGGGAAAAAAGACUACUGGUUUGAGAUGAUUUUCCUUUGUAAUGAUGUGACAAAGCCACCACCACCACCCCCCCCCCCCCCCCUUUGAUUAAUAACCCAUACCCCAAGCUGAAUCUUAAGGUUUUUUGUUUGUUUGUUUUGAGGCCACUCAUUUGUGUUUGACACAUGAUUUUUUUUUGUCUGAAAAGUGGUGGUAAUUGUGUGCGAGCCCAAUGUUUAUGAAGAUCUUUAUGGAACGUGAUGCUCCUCAAUGCAGCUUUGAAUUAACGACCAAAUGGAUCAUCAUCAUCACAAUGCCUUGCAAAGUAGGACUAUUGUAUUUAUUGUCAAAUUGAGGUGCAGUUUGUGAGUGUGUGUGUGUGUGUGUGUGUGUGUGUGUGUGUGUGUUUUCACUUUCAGUAGGGGAAGCAAAAGCCCUGAAAAACUACUGAACUGUCCAGCCACUGUGCAGCGAAAGACAACCUGUCUGCUGUUCUCUUAUGUUCAAAUUACUGCUGUAAAUUCUGGUGUCCAAUCUGGAAACGGCUCAUAGAAACUGAUUAGUUGGACAUGAACCGAUUUAUGUAUUGAUUAUGUGCAUUAGACUCCUGAAAGUGCUUUUUUUUUAUUGGUAUUGCAUGCCUUUCUUUUUGUGCUGCUAGAAAUCAUGACUUUCCUUUCAUUAGUUGUUUUUAUUUGUUCUCUUCUUUUUCAAACAUGUGCCAGACAGUGGAGAAUAAGUAUAAAGUUGGCAGCCUCAGAAAAGCUUGACUGCUGCAAGAGUCCUAGUCUGACUACUCUCUCUAUACACUGGCUCCAAGUUCAAUGUGAAGAUGACCUCUCAUAAUUAGCAUUUAGAGAAAUGGGAUGUUGAGGAAAAAAAAUUGGCCUGCUCUUUUUUUGUGUGUGUUGUGGCACUUGUCUUGUAAUGAACUACAAUUUUAGCAGGCAUGUUUUAAUUUGAAAUGUAUCGAUUCUUUUCUCUAUGUUUUAAGAAGAAAAAAAUCACACACACACACACCCACUACAUGUGGAAAUCAAUGCAAUGCAAUUUUUUCAACAUCUCAGCAACAUAUCAAAACCCAUUUAGCAAACUGCAACCCAAGAGCAGGGCCCUCCCACCGAGAGGCGCUGCCCCUCCUACCGUCAGUGGCAGGCAGCUCGAGGCGAGAGGAGACCCCAGUGCCUUUGAUUCUCAUCCUCACCUCCAGGACCAGAGAGAACUGCCUGCUGCCACAACCGCCACCUCCCAGCCCAGCCCAGCCCAGCCACCUCCCAGGAACCUACAGCCUGCCUGGGGCUGGGAAUAGGGACAGUGCCAGUACCAGGGCCUGGAUCUAGGGGCACCACAGCCAGCCAUGCCCCAGUGUGUAGGUACAUUCCCCCACCCAAACAUGAGGUUCAGGUCUGCCUGCGAAACACCUCAAGCUCCUCCAGACUUGUAAGUAGUGGAUGGCAGUCAUGUAUGUGGUUUAUACCACUAUUCGUGGGGGAACGCCAUUCCCCCCUCCACAGUGAAAAAAAGUGGAACAUUCUGGACACUCAUGAUGAUGGUGCAAACUGAACUGGGAUAUGCCAAUAAGGCCACUGCACUAUCGCCAUCAUGACCAGUUUUGAUACCUUUUUUUUCCCCUCCUUUCUUGUGUUUGUUUUUCUUCUUUCUCUCUUUAUAAUUUAAUGGAAGUGGUAUGCUUGCUUUGUCAAGUUUCUGUGUCCGGGAAUAUUUUUAAGUGCCAUUUGACGGUUUACUUAGUGAGUGGUUGCCCGCGGUAGCGCAUUCUAAUGCAAGCACAAGCAUUAUGACACUCUGGGAGGCCACUGUGAGGUCAUCCCUCUCUCCCUCCCAGGGACAGUCUUAGUUGUAAAUAUAAAGAUAAAAAAAAAGUGAAAGGUUAUUUAUUUACAGUCUCUUUCUUUAACUGUCAUAAUGACUGUUUAAUUUUUUUUUGAAUGUUGGCAAGUGUACAUUGUGAUAUAUUUUUUUUUUUUCUUUCUUUCUUUCUUCUGGUUUUUGGAUGAUGUAUGGUAUUUUGCAUACAUAUGUUUUUUUUGUGUGUGCUGUUUCAAGUUACCUCUUAGUAUAUUAUAUCCUCUGAGAAUUGGUAAGAGCUAACCAAUAUGUGUAGAGUGAUUUGUAUUGUGUAUUUUACAUAAAAGGAUAACAAACUGGGGAACUUUUAUAUUUAUAAAGGCAUAUAUUAACAUUUAGUGUGUCGUUAUGAGGAAAAUAUAGGAAAUAUUAAAGACACAUGUAGUUUGUUUUUCUGAAUAUUUCAGACUUGAGCUCAGGCUAGCUUAUUAGUGUUGUUUUCUUAAAAUCUGUGGCUUGUCUUUCAAUUAAUAAACAUUUUUCUUGUUGAAAGUAGUCUGGUAUGGAGAUAACUGGUGUCCUUUCAAAUGAAAUGCCUCACCUCCACAUACAUUUGACACCACAUACCUGAAUACUCUCUGAAACAGGCAGGAGUAAGUGCAAGUAAUGCAUUUCUACAAAAACAUUCACCUCCAGCUGUUUGCAGUCCACCUGAAGUCACUCUGACAGGGCCAGUAAGUGUCUUUGCACCGCAUCAAAAUGUUUUGCUAUACUUGAAACAUUUGACACCACAGCACACCCUCGUUUUCUUUUGGUUGGCAAGCAUGAUGUUGCUGUAGUAGACAGAUGAUUUACGCAUUAGGUGAAAUUGUCUUAAAUUAA
ensembl:lncRNA